rnacentral:tRNA from 1 species
CGUAGCGUCUUUCAACGGCAGGAAAACCGUCUGAUACGCGGUUAAUAAGUGUUCAAUUCACUUCGCUACGACCA